rnacentral:rRNA from 1 species
AUUGAACGCUGGCGGCAUGCUUUACACAUGCAAGUCGGACGAGUGGCGAACGGGUGAGUAACGCCUCGGAACGUACCGAGUAGUGGGGGAUCACUGUUCGAAAGGACAGCUAAUACCGCAUAUUAUUCGAGCUGCCGAUGGGGGAUUAGCUGGUUGGCGGGGUAAAGGCCCACCAAGGCGACGAUCAGUAGCGGGUCUGAGAGGAUGAUCAGCCACACGGGGAUUGAGAAACGGGCCAGACGCCUACGGGAGGCAGCAGUAGGGAAGUUGGGACAAUGGGCGCAAGCCUGAUCCAGCCAUGCCGCGUGUCUGAAGAAGGCCUUCGGGUUGUAAAGGACUGUUGUCAGGGAAGCGGUACCUGAAGAAUAAGCACCGGCUAACUACGUGCCAGCAGCCGCGGUAAUUC